CUUGUCUUCAUCCUUUGAAAUGCUCCUCUCUAAAUCACAGGUGUUCCCAUUAACAAAAACAAAAAGGAAUUAGCAAUUGUGAGAACGUGAUUUGAAUGGCAGCCUCAGUGAAAUGCCAGCCUUUAUAUUCCUACAGGUAAUUUGUUUUCUCCCCAGUCACAGACAUGUUGAGUGGGAAGGCUGCGAGAAUUCUCACUGUUCCAGGAAGUGAUCGUUGUUGUGAAGAUUUAAAUUUAAUACCAAAAGAAAUCAUGUUUUUUUCAGAGAGAGUCAGCUGCACAGUCUGAUGACAACAGAGCAGCAUGAAGCUGAAAGACUUGGCACAAAACAGCAAAUGUCUGAGCAGCCCCUGCAAAGGGACCAGAAACGAAUGGCAGAGGGAAGAGAGCACUUCAUGGCAUUGGUGAUGCCAAUGAGUACUGCUUGGUUGGCUUCUUCCAAACACUCAUGUUUUUUUGGAAGUCCUGUGACUCCUAGAAGUAGAAAAUAGACCUGUUGAAGGCAGGCACUUUUGCAGGUAGCAGAAGCGUUGCUCCAGGAGGACAACAGGUUCAGUUCUGGUGGCAGUGUGUUAGCACUCUGUGGGGACAUGUAGUCAUGAAGCACUGAGGAACCUGGUACUCAGCUGCUGGAACAGAGUAUGAUGUUGCCACAGGGAAUGUGUGUCUUCAGAAGAAAAAAUCCUAUUAUGCUCUUAUUUAUCUGGCACAGUCCAAGCUAUGUUCAGUGCUUGCGGCAUGACUGCUGAAGUAGUCGAUCUCCACAAAGCACUUAUCCACUUUCAUGGGGAGAGCUGGGCUUUAAAUCCUCUGCACCGGUUUUGUGAUUAUUCAUUUUUUAACUACGCUCAGAACCAAAUCUCCACUGCAACUGACACAGUUUCACUUUGAAAAUCAAUGAGACAGUGCUACGAGGGCAGAAACGUCUUGCCUGUGAGCUUCAUAUUGUUCAGAGCGGCUGAAGUGACAGCCCUGACUGACUUCUGUUGUGAUGGAACUAAUCAGUGACAAGUGUCUGAACUCCCCUGUGGCCCUCCUCGCCCACCAGGCUGUACCCCAGCAGGAGCUUCUGAGCUAGCACAGUCUCCAGCCUGAAGUAAGUCACAGAAAUACAUCCUCCCCCAUUUGGAACAACCACUUUCCAGCCCCAGCCUUUCCCUAGGGGGCAGCUCUGGCUGGAGAUAAGUGCUUCCAUGGCAUUAAAAACGAGAGCUGCUGGCUUGUCCUCAGAGUGGAGGGGUUGAUGUUGAUAGGGAAAAGAUGAGUCUUAAGUGGGCUGAAUCCUGAUAGUAUUGCAAGGGGUGAACUUGACAUUCCUGCUUGGUAGUAGAUGUAAGAGUAUAAGGGAAGAAAAAAUAGUCAAUUCUAUUAAAAUGUGUUCAGAACGUAAGGUAAUUAAUGAAAAUUACAGCCAUCCAGGUUAUUAAAUUAGCGUGAGACUGACAAUAGAAGAUACAGAUUGCUUUGGAAUAACUUUAAAUUAUUUAAAGCAUGUUAAUAAUGAAAAUCUCGCAAAGUCUCCAUAAUGCAAAACAUAGUUCUGAUUUUGUUACGGGGUUGUUUUUUACAUUUUCAUUUCCACUCUGUGAUCAUUAAAGAAGCAGGACCUUUAAAGACUGGGAGCUGCAAAAGCUGCUAAGAGGGAGAAGCUCACAGGCGUCUGGAGAUGAGCUGUGAUGCUGCAGUAUUAUCCAUGGCACAGUUGAAAUCAGACAAGACACAGUAAAGUUGUUGUGGAUGACCUGACCACAUGUUCUGCUGUAUUCUCUAAAUAUUAUGGAUCUAGUUUCUCUUGAAUACUGGACAAGUUGAUUUGGAGC
ensembl:lncRNA